UACGUAGGGGGCAAGCGUUGUCCGGAAUCAUUGGGCGUAAAGAGCGCGUAGGCGGUCCGGUAAGUCGGUUGUGAAAACUGGGGGCUCAACCCUCAGAGGCCGACCGAUACUGCCGGGCUAGAGUCCGGAAGAGGCGAGUGGAAUUCCUGGUGUAGCGGUGAAAUGCGCAGAUAUCAGGAGGAACACCAAUGGCGAAGGCAGCUCGCUGGGACGUGACUGACGCUGAGACGCGAAAGCGUGGGGAGCAAACAGG
rnacentral:rRNA from 1 species